UUUCUCUCUCUCUCUAACUCUUGAAAGGUGGAAGAAUGGAAGUGUGGAGAAAAUGGGAGGAAGGACCCUUAUUUAUAGAAAAUGAGACCCGUUGGAUUUGCAUUAAGUGGUGAAAUUCGGUGAAGAGAGAGAGUAAAAAGAUGUUUGGCAUAAAAAACAGUGGAGAAAGACCUCCUCCACCAGCAGCAACACCAUAAGUGGUGGCACGUCGCCCGAGUUGAACGGCAGCACACUACUUAAGGCGACGCUCGAUGCGUGCGCUGUAGGCCUAUGCGGGCACUGGGCUACCCUGCCGCACGCAGGAGCUGGCCUGCGCGUGCAAGGCCUAGGUGCACUGGGGCGUCAUGCGCAAGCCUACUGCUCACAGGCCCCAAGUGCAUAGGCCUAUCCGUACAGGCCUACUGCACAAAUAGCGUGAGCACAGUGUGCAGCGCCUACCUGUCCACACGUGAUGUGACUAUUCCCAUAGUUAGCCCAUUCCCACGAGAUUUUUUGCUCAAGAUUUUUUCCCCCUAUUUUUCCCUCCCCCAUUUAGUCUGAAAAGACAUAAGAUCACUGCUCUCUAUGGAUGAUGGU
rnacentral:lncRNA from 1 species